GUCUGAUGUGAAAGCCCACGGCUCAACCGUGGAGGGUCAUUGGAAACUGGAAAACUUGAGUGCAGAAGAGGAAAGUGGAAUUCCAUGUGUAGCGGUGAAAUGCGCAGAGAUAUGGAGGAACACCAGUGGCGAAGGCGACUUUCUGGUCUGUAACUGACGCUGAUGUGCGAAAGCGUGGGGAUCAAACAGGAUUAGAUACCCCCCCGUA
rnacentral:rRNA from 1 species